AAUUUUUCUGUUAUUUCUCGCGGAACAGCUUACAGUAUAAAUUGUGGCCUCCUUUCCUCCGGAAAAAGAAUCACUCAAAAAGUAACGAAUCCUCCCCCUGGAUAGCCUGUAAAAGUAGCAUGCCGGUUAAAAUAUUUUUAGUUUGUUGCUCGAAGAAUUGUGUUCGUUUUCUUAUCGAGUUUUAUUUAUUUUUAGUCACGAGAAGCUUAGAGUGAUAACUGCAGCUAGAAAUGUACCAACCAGUGUGAUGGAAGUCGAGGAAUUUUCAAAAGAAAUCUACAUUCGGGAUAUUCCAUUUUUCCGUCCCGUUUCUCUUGAUCAAUGUGCUUUCGCCCCUUUUUCCAAUCGAAAAAUCAACAUGUAGAUAAGCGCUGUAAAAAGUAAACAUUUCCUCACCGAAAUCACCUGUUGAAACAAAAUGGCCGUCAAUACAUUUUUGGUUUGUUUCUUCAAGUUGCUGUCUUACAGAGUUGCGUCACUUUUCAACCCCGAUGACCUAGUCUUGAGCUGUAGCUUUUCCCCUGACCCCCCAAAACAUGGUCAAUUACAUACGACGGUCUCCUUCAUCAUGUCUUUCAAAGGCUCAGAGAAGGAAGUACCAACGAUGUUCUUAUCGCCCUAUAUAAAUGCCGACGAAUACUUUUAAAUUACGUGUAUGCCCGAUGGAAUCCUGUGAGGCGGAAAGUGAUGUCAUAUUCCUUUAAUCAAGUGACCUCUUCUGUGGGUUUGUAAAUUUUCAUUUUCAAAAACACAGAUGAUCAAGUAUGAUGUCACUCGGACGUGGUGACUUCUUUUAACAAGUAAGCACACGUAAAUUCUCAAUUUGUUCGUUGAUUCGAGCAUAUUCACUCAGCGGAGGGUUUUGAAUAUUAAGUAUGAGCAACGAGAAAUAUCAAUCCUGUUAGCCCUCCCGCUUCCAAAAAACGAAAAGAAAACAUAAUCCGCAAAAAUUAAUGACAUGUAUUUUAUCGAUAUGAAUUAAAGUUUAUUUUUUCAUGGACGGCCACAAUCUGUCGCUCCUCAGACGGAAUAAUUCAAAUUCAA